rnacentral:lncRNA from 1 species
UUGAAUUCAGGAAUAGGAUCAAGCCCCAGGUAUAUACCACCACAGAGCAUACUGUAGAGACGGUAAUGGAACUUGUGGCUGUGAGGAAAAAAUUCAUCAGGAUUUAACACCUGAAUCUUGAAUUGCUGUAGAUGCUUCACGUGCCCACAGCUGUUGACUCUGCUGCUGAAGGAAGCAGGAGGGAAAAGAAUAACAGAAACACAUUCAUCAGCAGCCAAACAUCCUACAACCCACGUAUCAUGACUUUAACAUGUCAGGAAUCACAAGAUUCCUAGAUCACCUUUUGGAGGGCAGAUGGGACUGUCUUCUGCCUUACUCCUCCAACACCUAGAAACUGCAGUGUAUCGUCAUGCAGAUGUGAAUUUUCCUCUUUGGAAGAUUGCUUAUUGUUUUGGAUGCCCUCAAGAACCAGAGUCAGAAAUUGGAGUUACCACUUUGUAAGGUGCUGCUUUAAUUUGG